UUCUGAGUGCACGUGUUUGUAACAAGUAAGAUUAAAUUGUAUUAAAAUAUUAAAUUAAAUUGUGUUUCGGGUAUCAGCAGUAUAUAAAGUGCAAAGAAAAGUUAAAGAGACAUCCAGAUCCCUGAUUUCUGGCAUUAGUACGGCAUUUUCUUCAAACAUGCAUGGCUGAUUUACUGAUGUGAUGAGAUAUCUGCCAUCAGACAAUGACGAUAUUAGAAUGUUUACACGGUUAGUUGCGGUUGAUACUAACUAUUUAUUCGCCCAAAAGCAGACAAGGUUUACAAUGUCACUCCCCUGCUGUUAUUGUCACGUGUGAAUAGUAACGUUCAUUGAUACAACAUCGCAUCGCUCGUCCACCGAAUCUCACGGCGUCUCCGGUGCGAAAUCUCGUCAACAAGUUGCUCGUUUGCACCAGGUCUAAUUGCAAGCAUUGUAAGCCUUAAUUGGUGAAGUGAUUUUUGGUUUAUUUUGUAAGUUUUUUAAAAAAGUAAAACGGGUAAGUUAUACUAGAAUAAUUAUAGUAUUUCUAAGGGUUUCGGAGAAAAAGGAAAAAACGUAAAACGACCAAAAUUUUAAAGGCGAUUUUAAUCUGUUUAGUCCAAAAUUGCGUUUUCAUUAGGAGGACAUCGCCUACAUAUUUACAAUGAUCCAUAAUUUUUUAAAUCUGCGAAUUCGGGGUUAUUCCUUAUAUUGAAAUGUAAGAAAACGAAAGACGCCCCGCGAUCAGGCAACCGCCUCGCACCGACGCGACGCCAAGGCUCAUCAUAGGGGCGCGUCGUCGAUGCUCCGUGCCAUAGAAAAUUUCUAAUUUUUUUGCGCCAAAACGAGCACGUUUAAAGAUGUAAGAAAAUUAUACUAAUAAAUGAGAUUAAUUUUAACAUUCUUUGCUUGGUAUAAUUAAUGACUUGCAAUUAAACUGCUACUAACUUCAAAAUUAUUAACAUUUGAAAAAAUCGAGAAGGUUGCAACACUUUAACACCUUUCUUACAACAUAACAAGUAGUUAAGAAUAUAAACAAAUUUGAAAAAAUGAAAAUGAUAUGAAAUAAAAUAAAAUUGAAAUUGUGGCUAUCUCCAUGGUCCGCCGUCCGAAGGUUGGAAAGUUCAUGUAGCUAUGACUACUUAAAUAUGUAAAACAAAAUCUUAAUUUUUUAAUAUAAUUCCUUUAACAUAGUGUUCAGAAUUAGAGAAGAACUUACCAAUACUCAUAAUAAAAGUCAUGACAGAUAAAAAAAUACACUAAAAUUCAUAGAUCGUAAUAGUUAAGUAGUACUGAAGGAAAGGUUAAAGGGGAGACCAACAACGUACUGCGUCGUACAGAUGUAUGUGUGUAGUCAAUUAAAUGAUCAACGGUAAUUUUGCAUAAAAUGCGAAUUGUUAAUGUAGUUGAGUAUAACAAAGUAAUAAAAAAAAUGAUUCAGUAGUAAUUGUUCAAUUAGAAAUUUAAAAAAAUGAAGUUGAAAAGCUAGUGCUAAAUUACAUCAUCCUUCAAAAAAUCACUGUAUAUAACUAUAAAAAUAUAUUACUAUAGUAUAAAACCAAAAGUACUAAGAAAAGCCGGUAAUCAAGCAAGGUAGUUAAGCGGCUAGGUCGUAAAUCCAGCAGCUGGCUAACCAACUGGAUCUAACUAAAAUAGAACAAAACGAGCUUGAACAUACCUGAUUAUUAUCAAGCUUCAAACUUCCGUGAUGAAAUAUCGUUGAACUGUGCUUCCGAUUUUCACGCCAUGGGAGCUCCUCCGCAAGAUGCUUCACUCGCGAUCCGUAAUACGGGAUGUGAUCUUCAUUCGACGAAGCUAAUUUCCAGACAACUGAUCCACUCAACCGUUACAUUUUCGCGAGCUAAACGACUCUAUCGACCGUUUCCGGUUCGAAUGACUCGUCUGUUAAAAAAAGAAAUUAAUUCGUGCCGACUAAAUCGAACGCAAACAGGAAUACUGUUUUUUUUUUUUUUUUUCAAUUCUUUUUCUUUCUCGGUUCGACGAGACGCGCACACUCCAGCACGAAAGCUCGUCGACGAGUAAAAGCUAACGAGUGUAGAGAAACCGAGCAAGCCAGGACGCGCCUUUCGAAAGCACCGCGCAAGCUCAGGCUGUUCGUGCGAAAUCCAGUCUCCGAAGUGGUGUUAAGGAUCGUUUCUCUUCGGUUAUACUCGGCUACGUUCGACUACCAAUGAUUUAUACUUGCCUCCAUUCAUCACGUGAUCUUGGUAUAAUUUAUAACCGCGACAACAGCAACCCCUGACGGGAUGUGAUCAUACAGAUCCAUACAACUUUAUCUCAUGAUACUGUAACGUGAAACGUUAUCACGUGAAUAUGUCUAGAGUGGUAUGGCGACAUUGACAUGGGAAUAUUUAUCGAUAGGCUAUUGUAUCGACAUGUCUCGAAUGUUCUUCGAGGACCUUUUGUAUCGAUGGCUAUAAAUUAAGAGCGGAGUUUAAACCAUCUGCGUAUACGCUCAUAUUAUAAAAUAAACAAAGCCAAAAUUGUAAACCCCUCGACGUGGGUGAUUGAGUUGAGAGAAGGCCGGAAAUCCAGAGAAUGGAAUAGUUUCACUUAGUAGAUUCCUAAAAGACUAAUUUAUGAUAGACCAUAGCUAAUUCGUUGUUUUCGACCAAGUCACGAACGGUCC